CUGAAAGCCACAGAGUUCAAAGAAGAACAGAAAAACUGUUUCUUAGAAUUUAAAUACCAGCAAGAGGAUGCUGAGCUUCGUUCUCAGGUUUCAGAGGAACUGCAACUAGCCAAAUUAUGAGAGUCACCAGAAUGUGUUGUCCCUCUGCCAUUCUACAACCUUGCAGGUAAAGCUGUGCACUGGAGGAGAAAUCAGUGAUGUGGAGUCCAGGUGUAACUUCCUUUCUAUCUAUCCAAACACCAGUCCUGGAACAGAGGCAGUCACAAACAGCAUGCAGAUGGGGACUUGCCCAAGAGCACUGCAGGCUACAUAUCUGCUAGACUCCAAUACAUUGUGAUAUGUACCUAGCACCCAGAAUAGCACAUCAGAACCCAAUGCCCUACUGAGGAAAUGGGGGGGGGGGGGAGCUGCCUCCCCGUGUAUUUGUUUUUAUACAUCCCAGCAUGUUGCAGGCUU